rnacentral:rRNA from 1 species
UGCUUACACAUGCAAGUCGAACGGUCUCUUCGGAGAUAGUGGCGGACGGGUGAGUAACGCGUAAGAAUCUACCUUCAGGUUGGGGACAACCAGUGGAAACGGUGGCUAAUACCCAAUGUGCCGAGAGGUGAAAGGCUUGCUGCCUGAAGAAGAGCUUGCGUCUGAUUAGCUAGUUGGUGGGGUAAGAGCCUACCAAGGCGACGAUCAGUAGCUGGUCUGAGAGGAUGAUCAGCCACACUGGGACUGAGACACGGCCCAGACUCCUACGGGAGGCAGCAGUGGGGAAUUUUCCGCAAUGGGCGAAAGCCUGACGGAGCAAUACCGCGUGAGGGAGGAAGGCUCUUGGGUUGUAAACCUCUUUUCUCAGGGAAGAACAAAAUGACGGUACCUGAGGAAUAAGCAUCGGCUAACUCCGUGCCAGCAGCCGCGGUAAUACGGAGGAUGCAAGCGUUAUCCGGAAUGAUUGGGCGUAAAGGGUCCGCAGGUGGCAUUGUAAGUCUGCUGUUAAAGAGUUUGGCUCAACCAAAUAAAAGCAGUGGAAACUACAAAGCUAGAGUGUGGUCGGGGCAGAGGGAAUUCCUGGUGUAGCGGUGAAAUGCGUAGAUAUCAGGAAGAACACCGGUGGCGAAGGCGCUCUGCUAGGCCAAGACUGUCACUGAGGGACGAAAGCUAGGGGAGCGAAUGGGAUUAGAUACCCCAGUAGUCCUAGCCGUAAACGAUGGAUACUAGGCGUAGCUCGUAUCGACCCGAGCUGUGCCGUAGCUAACGCGUUAAGUAUCCGCCUGGGG